UUGAUAUCUCGAAAUAUCGCUAGUGAGUGAAAGGUGUUCCGUGAGCUGGAAGGUGUGGUAGUUGGAAGGAAGGUGGUUUGCUUGUGCAGUUUGUUUUAAAUUAAACAGUAACUCAUAACAGGCUAUGAGAUGUGUGCCAAAAUGGCUUUUCAGCACCAAGCUGGGACGGCGAUGGAAUGCCUUAGCAUACCCAUCACGCUGCACAAGGAACUGGGACUAGAUCCGGAGGGGAGAGAGAUCCUUAAGUGUGGCUUCAAGAUUGGUGGUGGGAUAGACCAAGAUUACAGGAAGAGUCCUCAGGGAUACACUGACAAUGGCAUAUAUGUAACAGAGGUACAUGACGGCAGCCCCGCAGCAAAGUCAGGACUCCGGAUGCACGACAAGAUUUUACAGUGCAAUGGUUAUGACUUCACAAUGGUGACACAUAAAAAGGCAGUGGAUUACAUUAAGAAACACCCUGUGCUGAACCUGCUAGUUGCAAGGAAGGGUGUCACAUCCACGUGAUGGCGCGUGCUGCAACGUAGAUAUCAUUAUGUACCUGCUGCUGUGAUGCUGUCAUUCUUCUCUUCAUAAUUUCUUGAGUUUCAGAAUGUCUGUUUCUAUAAGGGAUCAGCUUCAUUGUCACUGCUGACAGAACAGGAUGUCAGAAACAAAUUCUUGGAAAAAGCAGCGUAAGUUUCAACUGCUGACAACUUAAGCACUUUGUAACAAAUACUGGCAUUUACAGUGCUGUUGGUCCUAACUGCUGUGUGGUAUUUUUGUUUUUAUUGCAACUGGUAGACCACAGUCUUGCUUCUGAAUUAUCUGCACCCCUUUUGGCUUUACUGUAAAAUGGAUAGAUGAGUGUUGAUGGAUAUUUUUGAAGUGUUGCAGGUUCUGAUUCAGAAACAAAAUUCAAAAGCAUCACAUUAUGUACAAAUGAAAGCCAUUAGAUGGAACUCCUCUCGGUUUAUCAUGCAGCCAUAACAGUGACGACGUGUCAUGUUUACGCCCUGUGUCCUGACACCAAGCCAGCUUGGGCGCACGUCGUAGUGUCCGACAGCUGUAACUUACUGGCAUUUUUUCAGGUACUCACUGAAAUGUGGUUGCCAGGCCAUGAAGUGUGCAUUUAGAGGACAGAAAGGGUUGAGUUCUUCCCCUUUUCCCUUUUUGAGAUUUUGUUUAUAAUUUGAAAACAAACAUUUCUGUGGAGUUCCAGCGGUACAUGAAAAUUCAGUUAUAAGAUAAAUGUCGUCCCUGUUGUAGGGGGAAGUGGAGGUAAGGCUCCAUACAUUCCAGAUCUUAGCGCAAGAUACUCUGGCUUCUGAACCCCUGGGAAAGACUUCUGAGUGCUCAUUAAAUUUGCCCUAUUGUCAGUCUUAGGUAUUAUUUGAAGAGAAAGAAGGGUCCCUACCUGUGUGAGGCAAUUUAAGAACCAGAGGCUGCAGUGCCGCAUCACUUGAAGGACUGAGUUUAACUUUUAUCCUUAUCUCAUCAGAUCAUUGAUCAGUGAGAAAGAUAUUUUUCGUAGUAACAGUAUGUUUGCAUGUAGUUAAAUGUUUCUUACAAGACAUUUCCUUGUAUCUACAGCCUGCAAUCUGUUCUGGCAUGUGAUUUAUAAUUCCAGUCAUGCUCAAGAAUUUUAUUAUGCCAUCAUUUCCUGAUAUCACUUCUUUGUCUUGUAUCACAAAAUUAUUCUCUAAUUACAUUAAAUUAUAAUGUAAAAUUUGGAAUGGUAGCGAUACCAUACUCCAAGUCACUGCAAGGAAUCAUUUUCCUAAGCCUAAGUGCCUGUUGUUUUGUAUGGGUGCGAAACAUGGUCUCUCACUCAGAGGGAGGAACACAGAUUGCAGGUAUUUGAGAAUCGGGUGUUGAGGAGGAUAUUUGGGCCUAAGAGGGAAGACGAU